rnacentral:rRNA from 1 species
CCUACGGGUGGCAGCAGUGAGGAAUAUUGGUCAAUGGGCGAGAGCCUGAACCAGCCAAGUCGCGUGAAGGAUGACGGCCCUACGGGUUGUAAACUUCUUUUGUCAGGGAGCAAUUGAGUCCACGUGUGGUCUUAGUGUGAGUACCUGAAGAAAAAGCAUCGGCUAACUCCGUGCCAGCAGCCGCGGUAAUACGGAGGAUGCGAGCGUUAUCCGGAUUUAUUGGGUUUAAAGGGUGCGUAGGCGGUUUUAUAAGUUAGAGGUGAAAAUUCGGGGCUCAACUCCGGACGUGCCGCUAAGACUGGAUGACUAGAGAAUAGAUACGGUAGGCGGAAUGUAUGGUGUAGCGGUGAAAUGCGUAGAGAUCAUACAGAACACCGAUUGCGAAGGCAACUGACCAAACUAUAACUGACGUUGAGGCACGAAAGCGUGGGGAGCAAACAGGAUUAGAUACCCGAGUAGUC